GGGCGCUUAGCUCAGGGGUAGAGCGCACGCUUCGCAUGCGUGAGGUCGUGGGUUCAAUUCCCACAGCGUCCA
rnacentral:tRNA from 1 species